rnacentral:rRNA from 1 species
GACGAACGCUGGCGGCGUGCUUAACACAUGCAAGUCGAACGGUGAAGGGAUCAGCUUGCUGGUUCUGGAUGAGUGGCGAACGGGUGAGUAACACGUGAGUAACCUGCCCCCUUCUUCUGGAUAACCGCAUGAAAGUGUGGCUAAUACGGGAUAUUCUGCGCCUGCUGCAUGGUGGGUGUGGGAAAGAUAUUGUUUCGGUGGGGGAUGGGCUCGCGGCCUAUCAGCUUGUUGGUGGGGUGAUGGCCUACCAAGGCGGUGACGGGUAGCCGGCCUGAGAGGGUGGACGGUCACACUGGGACUGAGACACGGCCCAGACUCCUACGGGAGGCAGCAGUGGGGAAUAUUGCACAAUGGGCGCAAGCCUGAUGCAGCGACGCCGCGUGAGGGAUGGAGGCCUUCGGGUUGUGAACCUCUUUCGCCAGUGAAGCAGGCCUGUCCCUUGUGGGUGGGUUGACGGUAGCUGGAUAAGAAGCGCCGGCUAACUACG